rnacentral:lncRNA from 1 species
AUGUUUCCUUCCCUACAAGUGUGAGGACAUAAUCCUACAUGGGUCCAGGAAGAAAGUAUUGGAUGUUCACUGCCAUUCCGAGGGGAAGCAGAGGGUGACAAGCUGAGAGAAAGGAAAUAAACGACCUUCCUGCUUAGGGAGGUUCAAACUAGAACCAUAAACAAAGUCCAGCCUCAGGAGUUCCACAGUCACCACCAGGCCAGACUAUGGUUGAUCCAGCUCAGCGCUACUCUGCGAAGUACCAGUGCUCCUGAUAAUGCUGAGGAACCAGAGUAAUUGAUUCAUUUCUUUUUUUUUUUUCAUUUUUCUUUUAUUAUUCAUAUGUGCAUACAAGGCUUGGUUCAUUUCUCCCCCCUGCC